rnacentral:lncRNA from 1 species
AAAAAUCAGGAAUACUAUUCCUACACCCUUUUUUGACACCAAAUACUUACAUCAUAUACACUGUUCGUCGUAUUUAUACGGUGAACACUGUAUUUUUAAAAUAAAUAAAAAAUAUAUUUAUGAACAGUACGUGAACAAUAUAUAAACAGUACGUGAAUAAUACAUGAACAGUGCACGUAAACAGUGUCUAUGAACAAUACACGUGAACAAUGACUUAAAGUAAUAAAAAAAAGUUGGUUAAUUAAAU